GCCAGGCAUGGUGGCACAUGCCUGUAAUCCCAGCAAUUUAGGAGGCUGAGGCAGGAGGACUGCAAGUUGGAGGCCAGCCUCAG
rnacentral:sRNA from 1 species